UGGUCCUUAAUAGAUAAUGUCGCCUUUCCUCUCACUGACCGGGGUCAAAACUAGCAGAAAAGCCUCUUUCUUGUUUUCGUCCUCACUUCUUAUAUUCAAUCCACAGACAACCAAUCAGCUCUCCAUUAAAGAGAACCUUCGAGAUUUCCUUCCGGCUCACUCUCAAGCGACCUUGUAACACCACCACCUCCUUCCGGUCAUCGUCUCUUUAGGAACCAUGAAGUUGUCAUCCAGUUGACCUCUUGAAAACAUGAGUAACGUCCUGGGGCCUUGAGAGAAGACUUGGCUGUUGAGACCAUUGGCUGCUCUUCCAGAGGACCUCCGUUCCACUCCCAGCACCCACAUGGUGGCUCAUAAGCAUGUCCUAAAGGAUCUGGCGCCCUCUUUUGGUCACCAUAGGAACUGCAUGAAUACAGUGCACAAACAUAUGUAUAGGCAACAAAAUAACAUGUAAAAACUACAUUUAACAUUAGAAAUCAGAACUAUAUCUACAUAUCUGAGAGCAGAGGUCAGGGUUAGAGAAAGACUGGCCUCUUGGCCUCAUUUAAAGCCUCUGGACCAAAGCUGUUUGACUACCUCUCUGGGCAGUCAUAUUUCUGUUUUCUUUGAUCUCCCUCCUAGUUAAACUAGUUGUGUUAGGUUUCUAAAGAUGAUUGAAAGAAAAAAAUGAGAAUGAAUGAGUGAAUUCCUGGCAACCUAGGACCACAUCUCACCUCCUGCCUUCCCUUAUCUACCGCAGGCCUCCUGAAAGGAUGCUAAGUUGGUGGUGACCUGACAUUUCUGUAAAGAAACUAGUCUCUACUAACUACCCCUAAACCUGCUCUGGUGCUGUAGUCAUCAAAAACAGAGUGACGGGAGAAUUGUGGACACUAAGAAUACUGGGAAAGAUGAACAGUCUUUAGAGUAAGCAGAGACUGCCUACAUGUCACAUGUAAAAUUCAAACACAAAAUUUCUUGGAAAUAUUCACUUGGCCUAAGAAGGUUUAAUGGGUUUAAUAGUAGAAGAUAAAAUUGAUUAUGAAUUA